GAUGAACGCUGGCGGCGUGCUUAACACAUGCAAGUCGAGCGGGCAAUUUAUCUAGCACUGAUUACUUCAAAUGGCUAUCGCCAGUGUAAUCAUGAAUUUCUACCUUUAAUAAGGGAAAAAAGAAAUUCAUGUACGCAAAUAGUGAUAACACAUGAAAGUGGAGUGAUGAGUGCUGGAUAAAUUGCUAGCGGCGGACGGGUGCGUAACACGUGGGUAACCUGCCCCUAUCACUGGGAUAACACACUGAAAAGUGUGCUAAUACCAGAUAAUAUAAGCUUUUGGCAUCAUUAGCUUAUCAAAGAAUUUCGGAUAGGGAUGGGCCCGCGUCUGAUUAGCUAGUUGGUGAGGUAACGGCUCACCAAGGCAACGAUCAGUAGCCGACCUGAGAGGGUGAUCGGCCACACUGGAACUGAGACACGGUCCAGACUCCUACGGGAGGCAGCAGUGGGGAAUAUUGGGCAAUGGGGGAAACCCUGACCC
rnacentral:rRNA from 1 species